UAGAAUGUGGUGCAAUGGUAGCACGAAGAAUUUUGAAUUCUUAGGUAUAGGUUCAAUUCCUGUUGUUCUAG
rnacentral:tRNA from 1 species